rnacentral:rRNA from 1 species
GAUGAACGCUGGCGGCGUGCCUAAUACAUGCAAGUCGAGCGAACAGACGAGGAGCUUGCUCCUCUGACGUUAGCGGCGGACGGGUGAGUAACACGUGGAUAACCUACCUAUAAGACUGGGAUAACUUCGGGAAACCGGAGCUAAUACCGGAUAAUAUAUUGAACCGCAUGGUUCAAUAGUGAAAGACGGUUUUGCUGUCACUUAUAGAUGGAUCCGCGCCGCAUUAGCUAGUUGGUAAGGUAACGGCUUACCAAGGCAACGAUGCGUAGCCGACCUGAGAGGGUGAUCGGCCACACUGGAACUGGGACACGGUCCAGACGCCUACGGGAGGCAGCAGUAGGGAAUCUUCCGCAAUGGGCGAAAGCCUGACGGAGCAACGCCGCGUGAGUGAUGAAGGUCCUCGGAUCGUAAAACUCGGUUAUUAGGGAAGAACAAAUGUGUAAGUAACUAAGCACGUCUUGACGGUACCUAAUCAGAAAGCCACGGCUAACUACGUGC